UGUGCCUCCAAAAACAGCAGCAUGGUAAUAAAAGUCCCCCUCGCCUACUGCUAUGUACGCUUCUGAUGACUUGUUCCUCUCAUAAGGUACUUUGCUUGGACUUUCCUUGUACCAAUACGUGUGCAACUGAGCUACAGAGUCUCCCAGAGUCUCCAGACCGUACUUGGCUUUGAAUAUCUGAUCCACAUCCAUGCAGAAGACAUAGUCAACCUCAUGCUUGUCCGAUGGCGACUCAGAUCUACCCAUGGCAUAUAGGAGA
rnacentral:lncRNA from 1 species